GAGUUUGAUCGUGGCUCAGAUUGAACGCUGGCGGCAGGCCUAACACAUGCAAGUCGAGCGGUAGAGAGAAGCUUGCUUCUCUUGAGAGCGGCGGACGGGUGAGUAAUGCCUAGGAAUCUGCCUGGUAGUGGGGGAUAACGCUCGGAAACGGACGCUAAUACCGCAUACGUCCUACGGGAGAAAGCAGGGACCUUCGGGCCUUGCGCUAUCAGAUGAGCCUAGGUCGGAUUAGCUAGUUGGUGAGGUAAUGGCUCACCAAGGCGACGAUCCGUAACUGGUCUGACGAGGAUGAUCAGUCACACUGGAACUGAGACACGGUCCAGACUCUACGGGAGGCAGCAGUGGGGAAUAUUGGACAAUGGGCGAAAGCCUGAUCCAGCCAUGCCGCGUGUGUGAAGAAGGUCUUCGGAUUGUAAAGCACUUUAAGUUGGAGGAAGGG
rnacentral:rRNA from 1 species